UACGUAGGGGGCUAGCGUUGUCCGGAAUCAUUGGGCGUAAAGCGCGUGUAGGCGGUUCGGUAAGUCCGCUGUGAAAGUCGGGGGCUCAACCCUCGAAUGCCGGUGGAUACUGUCGGACUAGAGUACGGAAGAGGCGAGUGGAAUUCCUGGUGUAGCGGUGAAAUGCGCAGAUAUCAGGAGGAACACCAAUUGCGAAGGCAGCUCGCUGGGACGUUAACUGACGCUGAGACGCGAAAGCGUGGGGAGCAAACAGG
rnacentral:rRNA from 1 species